rnacentral:rRNA from 1 species
AAGCGUUUAUGACCAGACUUGGGCUUGGUUAAUCAUCUGGGGUUCUCCCCAGUGCACUUUUCCAGUCCAGGCCAGCAUCAGUUUUCCCCGGGGGAUAAAGGCGGCGGGAAUGUGGCUCUCUUCGGGGAGUGUUAUAGCCCUCGGUGCAAUGCGCCCUACCGGGACCGAGGACCGCGCUUCGGCUAGGAUGCUGGCGUAAUGGU